UACGUAGGGUGCGAGCGUUAAUCGGAAUUACUGGGCGUAAAGUGUGCGCAGGCGGCCGCGCAAGUCGAGUGUGAAAGCCCCGGGCUUAACUUGGGAAUUGCGCUCGAAACUACGUGGCUGGAGUGUGGCAGAGGAAGGUGGAAUUCCAGGUGUAGCGGUGAAUGCGUAGAGAUCUGGAGGAACACCGAUGGCGAAGGCAGCCUUCUGGGCCAACACUGACGCUCAUGCACGAAAGCGUGGGGAGCAAACCGG
rnacentral:rRNA from 1 species